rnacentral:rRNA from 1 species
GACGAACGCUGGCGGCGUGCUUAACACAUGCAAGUCGAGCGGUAAGGCCCUUUCGGGGUACACGAGCGGCGAACGGGUGAGUAACACGUGGGUGACCUGCCCUCAGCUCUGGGAUAAGCCUGGGAAACCGGGUCUAAUACUGGAUAUGACUCCAUGACGCAUGUUGUGGGGUGGAAAGCCUUGUGCGGCUGAGGAUGGGCCCGCGGCCUAUCAGCUUGUUGGUGGGGUGANGGCCUACCAAGGCGACGACGGGUAGCCGGCCUGAGAGGGCGACCGGCCACACUGGGACUGAGACACGGCCCAGACUCCUACGGGAGGGCAGCAGUGGGGAAUCUUGUGCAAUGGGCGAAAGCCUGACGCAGCG